rnacentral:lncRNA from 1 species
UUUUGACCGCAUCAACCAAAACUGACCAUAUUUGCUUUUUUAUGUGAGUCUAUAUAGUUGAACAGUACUUCGGUUAUAUUUUUUUUUACUGUAGUAUAUAUAAAUAACUGCAAUAUUGGAAAUUGAACAAACAUGACUAACUUAUGUCUAUGGGCGCUGAUAACACAAUAACGACAGAAGACCCAUUACAUCCAAACUUAAAUUAUUAAAUAAUGAACCGUCACAAAAAGUGAAUUUUUAAUUAGUCAGUAGUUCAUGAUGGUUUUUUUUUAAACAGAACUAUUUAAGGGCAUCAUCCAACACUCACAUCACUGAUUCAUAUACUUUAUUUUAAAAUGAAAAGUACAUGUAUGAGAAGUUCUCUUCUUGGAAAGGUAUACUGACUAUACUGUUAAUAUAAUUUGAAGAAGGAAAAUGAUUGGUUUUGUUUGUAGCCUUACGUCCAGUGGCAAAUAUUUCAUUCAUGUUCAGAUCGAGUAUAUUUUUCUGACGUUCCAGACUCCCAGAUAUUAUUCAUUAUCGUUAUGGAUAAGUUUGGCAACGAGAUAAUGCAAAUCUGAGACCUCAGUGCAAAUCUCGAGGUGCAAAUGUACAUAGUUUUCUUGCGUUUAACAACACUGUGUUCAUUACUAUGAUAUCCCAUAAUUCAUCCACUGUACAAUUUUCGUUUGAGCAUUUGUCCAAACAGAAUCUUAAAUCAUGAAUGUAAAUCCAAGGCAAACAAGGUAAAUUAAGAUUAAAUUUACUUGAAUUAAAUGCAGAG